GUGUCGCUAAAAUCCUGGCAGGCAGUUCCCUGCGACGGUUUAUAAAUACCUCCUCGUAUGGACCCAAAGUCAGGAUGAAGCCAUCAGCUCUACCUUCCUGUUGAACUCUGGAAUAAGUACAUUGACUGUGACCUGCAUGAGAAGUUUUCCUUCAGAAUGGAACAGUGUCAUGACUGACACCAGAGGGCGCUGACACUUGUGAGUUUCUUUGACGCUAACUUGAGGGUGGAGCCCAUGGUGAGCUGUCCAGGGGCUGAAGAAGCAGGUCCAGGCAAUUCCAGUGUAUAACCAGUACAGCAAGGUCCAGAAGCCUGAGGAAACUGAAAUCCAUCUGAUCCCGGGCACCAGGCAGGAUCGGGAGGAGAUUUGCCUGCAGCUCUCAUUCCCGCAAAGAUGUGGUCCAUCUGCCCCUGCUCCACAGCAGCGACCCUCCUUCCUGCCUCUCCUGGCCCCCUUCUCAGCUCUGGGGAGGACUAGGACUCCCGGGUCUCCUCCACCAGACCCAGAGCACAGAGCAGGGGUGGCCCCAAGAGGACCAUGUGGACCACAAUCAACCCUGCUCCCUGCUGAGGCUCCAUAUUGUGAGUUCUCCCCAAAGCUGAACUCCUCGUUCUUCACUGCAGACCCAAGCUCCCAAAGAUGCUGGUGGCAUGAUGAAGCGCCUGACUCACAGCUCUCCCUGUGCCCUGCUUCUGGCCACAGAGAACAGUAUCUGGAGCCCGGGAUAGCUUGGGGG
ensembl:lncRNA